UUAAAUUUAAACAAUGUUGUAAGCAUGGCACUCACCCAUAUAUAUAUAUGUUCAUAAUCAUUUGUUGAAGAAAAGUUUAGGAAAGAAAAAUAAUUAUCCGCAUUCGUUUAUCCAUCAUUAUUUGGAGGCUUCGCAGAAAAAUAUUUUAGCUUUGGCGUCCAGAUCCGAGUAGUAGCAGUUGAUAUUGAUGUGAUUCCUACCUUCCAAUACUGAUUCGGAGCAGGCUAUGACUUGGCUUGCCUACUAGGGGAUAAGGUCGGCACCAUCACGACUUGAGAAAUCGGGUCGUGACACCUAAGCAGUUUUAAACAUCUCAUAACCCACUCCACUCUCAAGAACAAGAAAAAAAUUAGGGUUUCUUCCAAGGCUCCAAGGCUUAUACUUUCAAGGCUAGAUUUCAAGCUAAUUCAAAUUCUUUUUCAUCAAAAAGGUACAUGGGGCUAUCCUAAACUAUAUGGGCAUAGGUUUUAUAAUUUCUACAAGUCUUAAACAUAUAUAUAUACACACGUAUAUGUUAUGAAUUUUGAUAAAUUCAUUUUAAAAGCAUGC